AUUGAACGCUGGCGGCAUGCUUUACACAUGCAAGUCGAACGAGCGGCGGACGGGUGAGUAACGUAUGGGAAACUGCCCGGUAGAGGGGGAUAACUAUUGGAAAGGGCGGCUAAUACCGCGUACCAUCGGAGCGGCCGAAGUUGGAUUAGGUGGUUGGCGGGGUAAAGGCUCACCAAGGCGACGAUCACUAGCUGGUCUGAGAGGAUGACCCGCCACACUGUGACUGAGACACGGCCCAGACUCCUACGGGAGGCAGCAGUGGGGAAUAUUGGGCAAUGGGCGCAACCCUGACCCAGCCAUUCCGCGUGACGGAAGAAGGCCUGCGGGUUGUAAAGUUCUUUUGUCAGGGAAGCGGUAACUACAGAAGAAGCACCGGCUAACUACGUGCCAGCAGCCGCGGUAAUAC
rnacentral:rRNA from 1 species